AGCAAGUGCAGCACGCUGGUGCUUCAGGGUCUCCCUGACUGCAGUGGUCUCAGCCGCCCCAUCCUGACAGGACGUGUUGCAUCCCUCAGAUGCACUGGCUGAAUGGCUCUGCAGUAAAUAUGGGUCUCCAAGCCUUUCGUCAGCAUACUGAUUGUAAGUCCUAGCAGCCCUCAAAAGGUGAAUGCAGAAGGACCAGCCUGGACAACAUAAUGACUCCCAAGAGAAUAAUGCAAAUCAAAGUUUCAAGAGAUUAUCACUACACACCUCAGUAUCAAGACUAGACUAGAAAAACAGAAUCUACCAAGAUGACCGGAAUAUACUGGUAGACCCAAGCUGCUCUCAACCUUGGUCAGAGAAGUUUCCUGUGGCUGUGGACAGAAGUCAACAGAGAGAUGCAUAACAGGUCAAAGAGCUGAAAAUAAGAACUGGGUGCUGAGUAGACAUCUUUAUGAACCCCUUACCCGGACAAAGGCUCCAGGAACAUCAAAGAAGAAGCAUGGAAAAAAUGUAAGAGCCAAUAUCAGAUGGGGAAGAGUGUUGUGAAAUACCGGCUUCCAAACAUGAUGGGGCAUCACUCUCACAGCAGCUAUAGUUGCUUGCAGAAGACCUACAUAAGACUAGGCCAGUCAAAAACACCAGCAUAGAUGUGUGAGACAAUCUCCGGCCCCAUUCCUUACUGAGAAACUACUGGCCUUUGAUAGUUUCUAGGGGAAAGAGAAUUCUUUUUUGAAGAUGUGGCCAUAGAGGACCCUCGUGUUGCAGCUGGUAUCCUCACACCAAUGCACUAUGGGUAACACUAAAUAGGCUUAGUGGGUUAUUAAAAAUUAGAAAGAGAGAGUGGAGUCUGGAGGUGACGUGUUAACUGGACAUGAAGGGAGCUGAAGGAAGAAAAUGGUGGCUACAUAUAAUAUUUUGUUGCAUACAUGUAUGUAAUUUUCAAAAAUAAAGAAAAAAUUAAAAGUCUAACCCACAUUGAUGAAUUUACCCUUUUUGUUUCUGCC